UACGUAGGCAGCAAGCGUUGUUCGGAGUUACUGGGCGUAAAGGGUGCGUAGGCGGUCCUAUAAGUAUGGUGUGAAAUCUCCCGGCUUAACUGGGAGGGUGCGCUAUAGACUGUGAGACUAGAGUGUGGGAGAGGAAAGUGGAAUUCCUGGUGUAGCGGUGAAAUGCGUAGAUAUCAGGAGGAACACCGGUGGUGUAAACGGCUUUCUGGACCAUAACUGACGCUGAGGCACGAAAGCGUGGGUAGCAAACAGG
rnacentral:rRNA from 1 species